AGAACCACAGGUCCUUGGCUAAGUGGCUGAUUUGAGGACUGGAACAGCAAAUACACAAGAUGAUCCUGGAGUGCCUUGCAGUGCUAGUGUUAUGGACUGAAUUUCUUUGCCCCCAAAUCACAGGUGGAAGCCCUAGCCCCCGAUGUGACUGCAUUUGGAGAUGGAGCCUUUGAGGAAAUGAUUAAGGUUCAAUGAGGUCAUGAGGGUCAGGGGCCCUGAUCUGAUUAGAUUGGUGUCUUUUUUUUUUAUUCAGUAGAGGCAGGGUCUCACUGUAUUGCCCAGGCUGGUCUUGAACUCCUAGACUCAAGUGAUCCUCCCACUUUGGCCUCCCAAAGUGCUGGGAUUACGAGCAUGAGCCACCACACCCAGCCAAGACUGUUGUCCUUAUGAGAACAGGAAGAAACACCAGGAGUGAGCAUGCAGGGAGAGGCCACGUGAGUAUGCAGGGGAGGCCACAUGAGCACACAGAGGGGAGGCCACAUGAGCACACAGAGGAGAGGCCACAUGAAGAUGCAGGGAGAGGCCACGUGAGCAUGCAGGGGAGAGGCCACAUGAAGAUGCAGGGGGAGGCCACGUGAGCAUGCAGGGAGAGGCCACGUGAGCAUGCAGGGAGAGGCCACAUGAGGACACAGGGAAAGGUCAUGUGAGGACGCAGGGAGAGGCCACGUGAGCAUGCAGACAGGCUAUAUGAGAAUGCAGGGAGAGGUCACAGGUGGACGCAGGGGUGCUGUCUGUAAGCCACAGAGAGGCCUCAGGAGGAACCCACCCUGCCGGCAGCCUGAUCUCAGACGUCCAGACUCCAUAACUGUGAGAAGAGAAACACCUGUUGUUUAAGCUGCCCAGGCUGUGGCAUUUAGCUGUGGAAGCCCUGGUAAUAUAGUUAGAAGGUGAAGAAGUGAUCAAAAAACAAAACCAGCACCGUGUUGGCUCAUAACUUACAGCAUAAAUCUCCACAAGUCCGUACCGAUAUAAGGAAAUGACUGAGUAAAUAAAUAAGUGGGGAGGAGAGAUGAAUCACAAAGGAAUUCCAAGUAGUUCAUGUAGACACUCUGCCCCUAAGGAGGGGAGCCUAACCCCCACGCCUUCCUUGGGUGCUGCAAAUACUGACUUCCCCACCAAGGGCACCAUGUGGAAAGGGGGACUUCGUGGUGGAGAAACCUGACAGGCUCCGCAUGGGCCAGGUGACCCAGGCCAGCCCCACCUGUGACCCGGCAGGGGGAGAGCAUACACCCUU
rnacentral:lncRNA from 1 species